rnacentral:tRNA from 1 species
GCCGCGGUAGCUCAGCUGGUAGAGCAACGCAUUCGUAAUGCGUGGGUCGGGGGUUCGAGUCCCUUUCGCGGCACCA